ensembl:lncRNA
UAGCAGAGGGAGCAGUAUCUCUCUGGAUAGAGAUUGUAUUUCUCUCAAGCUGUCACUGGUUGUGAGAAGGGGUGAGCUGAGUUUUAGUCUUAAAAUAACUUUGCUAUGAAUCUUAAUACAAGUUUCUAUGCCAGAGUUGUGGCCUUGAAUAAAGAGCCAGAGAGGGGAACCUUGGCUGCAAGAGGUUUGUUAGACUGACAUGAAGCCCUUCAGGAAACACAUGAAGAUGGAUGAGACCUACUGAAACUUCUUCCGCGUUCUCUUUCCUCUGGAAGUCUUACCAGUGUAUAUCACUGCCUGAUUGUGGUAACUCAUCUGUCUGCAUUGAAUGCAUUUUCAAAAACAUAACGCUUUUCCAUUGCCAGUAAUAGUAACAGAUCUGCUCUGAUGCUAGAGUAUCAGCAAGUGAAAAGUGAAGAAAACUUCUCUACUAAAACUUUUAAUGUGAUAGAAAAUGUUGGCAUGACCUCUGCUGACAGAAAAGAAGUUCUCCUCAACAGUUUUUAAGAUGCAGAGCAAUGAGAGUUCAGCUAAAAAGCUAUAUAUGCAGAAGCGCCUCUCAAUUACUCAUGUUGACACAGCGUUGGUUUCAGGAAUUUCUGAAAAUUUUAAGAUUACUGAAGAACCUGAAGCACAGAUUUUAAACUAUAAUUUAGAGAUACCACCUCAAGCCCAAGUCAUAUCAGUACCACUUUCUUGUUUCUCACCUAUAAUGCAGCAGCUGAUAUCUACCAGAAUUAAACGUGUCCCUGAAGUAAGGGAGGCUACAGAAAUACCAACUGUUACUUAUAUUUGGCCAGUAUUAAAGAUAGGAGAGGCUUGCAAACACUCCUGGGACAGACUUCCAAAUUCCUUAAUACCAAACAGCCCAAACUUAUCAAGGUACUGCUCUAGUCCUGAUGUAGUAACUGAAGAUGUAAUGUGUUCCCAAGUAACCCCAGCGAAACAGCUUGCACAAGAAGAGCAAGGCAGCAAGACAACAAAAUCAUAUUCUCUUAUUUUGAAGUCUUCCAACACUGUUGUUUCAGGAAUUCUAAGAUCAUUGGCUAAUACUGAGAAUAAGGAUUAUAAAAAUAUUUUGCCACUUUCAUCUAUUAGCUCUAUUGGAAAGAAAGUGAAAAUUCCAUUUAAGGAAAAUGCUAUGAUAAUACAUAAUGGAGAAGUCUACAUCCCUUACGUAACAAGACAUGAAACUUUGUCAACAGAAAUGGAAAUACAGAAUCAAGAUACGUUGCUCAGGAAGAUCACAGUUUCUUUCAUUACUUGCAAAACUAUCCGCGAAAGGACAGGACAGUUCCUCAAGAAGGCUGCUUUCCCAUCCAAAGAACUGCAAAAUAGAAAUGAGAGAGAAGCACAACAGAAAGUAGACAAAGAAGUAAGAAAUAAAUUUGGUGUUGUUAAAGAUAUAAGAAUACAUCUCAAGAGGAUAAAUCCCAGUGAACUUAAAGAAGAUUUUGGCAAAGCUUAUACAUUUAAAUGGAAGUUCCCCAAGAAGACUGCUUCUCCAUCCAAAGAAUCGCAAAGGAGAAUUGAGAGAGUAGCACAACAGAAAGAAGACAAUGAACUAAGAAGGAAAUUUGGUAUCAUUAAAGAUAUAAGAAUCCAUCUCAAGAGUCUGUAGCACUCAAGUCACGUUUUGUCAACUGAAUCUUAAACCAAUGUCUACCGCUCCUUCCAAGAUCUUUGAGAAAGACCUACUUUUAUUGUCCCGGGGUGGAAACAACAUUGGUGUACACUCAACAUUCAUGAAAAAUGUGCCAUAACUGUUUUGUGAGAUAUUUCAAAGCCAGAUAAAGCAAUACUUUCCAGAGUAUGUUAACAGAGCACAGGUAUUAAUUACUUUUCUUUUUUUCCUUUCUUCCAGUACCAAAAUAAAACAUCUGGUGUAAAAAAAAAAUAAUAAUAAUUGUGCUUGCUGUCAUUUUUCUCAUUUUCUUUCCCCAGUAAAUAUGCCAAGGCAGGUUCUUAGUUUUGACAGUGUUUCUCCAUCUAUCCACAUUUUCAUUUCUCAACAAGCGUCCCAAAAAUCAAGUACAAUCAAAUACUUAAUGAAAUACUUCAUGUUUAUUCUAGAGCUGUUUUACACAGAUGCUUCCACUUGCCUGUCUGAUAUUGAGAACUUUUCAGAUACCAAGUGUUAUGAGAAGUUCUCAUUAACUUUAAUUAUUACUGUCACUACCUUUUCACUAUUUUCUACAGCCAUAUCCUUCUCUUUGUAGAUUAUAUUCAAUUUGUUGCUUUGUCAUUUCUUCAGACUUUGCUCAUUGUAAUUAGAAUUAUUCAAGUAAUAAAAAGAUGUUUUACC